rnacentral:rRNA from 1 species
AUGCCAAGGGUGCAAGGCAGUGGGCUAUACAACCCUUUCACCGAGCAGGAAGUGUGGCAAGCAAUCAAACAAUCGCCGACGGAGAAAUCACCUGGCCCGGAUGGGUUCUCCGGUGUUUUCUUCAGAACUUGCUUGCAAACCAUAAAGAGGGAUAUCAUGGAGGCUUUUCAUCAGUUCUUCCACCUCGCCGGAGGCAAUUUCCAGCCGCUCAAUACAACUGUUGUAGUGCUCCUUCCAAAGAAAGACAGCGCCACCACAAUCACCGACUACAUGCCCAUUAGUUUGAUACAUUCCAUAGCAAAACUGAUCUCGAAAGUGCUCUCCCUCCGCUUAGCAACGGUGAUUCAAACCUUGAUCUCCCCGGUGCAGACGGCAUUCCUCCGAACCAAAUGCAUACAUGACAGCUUCCUCUACGUGCAAAACUUCAUCAAGUCCCUCCACGCCAAGAAGACGCCGGCCCUGCUACUCAAAUUAGACAUCUCAAAGGCCUUCGAUAAUGUUUCUUGGGAUUAUCUGCUUGAGUUGCUUCAACAGCUAGGUUUUAGCGCAUGA